UCUCCAGCGAUCCUGUUCCUUCUACUGGGGUGUGCCACUACUGUGUCCUGUAUCACACAGGAAUAUUUCAUUAUAAUUAAGGAGAUCCAGUGGGAUUAUCGUCCAGCUGGGGAAAACAAUCCUCAUCAAAACGCUGAAGGAAGAUGAUCCAACAGAAGUGCAUCCCUCAGACCAGUUGGGACAUUGACAUCCUGUGCCAGUGUGAACAGAGCGCGAGCGUUCUGUUGUGGAGGCUACAGCUUGUGGGUGGACAGACAUCAGGCGCACCCCACGAGAAGCAGUACAUGAUCAACACCACCCUCAGCAAGGAGAUCUGCUCUCUCACCCUCUCACUCUGGGGGCAUCAGCGGACAGCUGUUUGGGAACCUGCAGGUUCUGAACAUGGUGGUGGAGGACAGGGUGUACUGGUACCUGAAGGGGAUGGGCAAUGAGGUGGACAUCCACACUGCCUACUUCCAUGGAUGCAUUGACCAGGGCAGUAAUUAAGUGCUUAGUGGAAGGUCCUACCGGACAGUCAUGUUUCACCUAUCCUCAGCCACCUUCCAGACGGUGAAGAUGAAGCCUCAGUACCCUGGCUCCUGGUUGCUGCACUUCCACAUCAUGGCUGGUAUGGAGACCAUCUACACCACCAUUGAGAAAGAUCUAGCCGCUCCCUUCAACACAGUGAACUAUCAGAUCCUCUCCACCCUCUCAGGGCUGGGUGUCCCAGGCUCCGCAAACUCUUGGAUUGUGUCCUAUCUGGCAGGCCUCUCCUAACAGGUGACGUGUGCACCACAUACACUCACUUUUGGUGUGUCUCUCCAUCACUGUUGACAACUCCAAUAUCGCCCUCCUGGAGUGCAAAGAAUCUUGACGUGACCCUAGAUGACCGUCAAAGCUUGCGUCCACUACACCCCAACCCAAGCACCCCCCCCUUCCAAAAACACCUGAAACCGUAUCCUCUUUAAAGAGUGUCUUUAAAACAUCCCCCUAGCUCUGACUUUGCUGAUAGAUACUUUGAGGAAAAGUGUCUUUGUCCCACCUAGAAGAUGAAUGCAUUAAGUCGCUUUGGAUAAGAACGUCUGCUAAAUUACUAAAAUGUUGAUGCUUGUCUAAUGUCAAUGCUCUGAGAUUAGUUUUGAAAAUAUAACAUCCUUUUGUUUGUCCAACAUUGGCAUAUAUACACAUGGUGAAAGGAGAAGAAUGCAAAUUAAAUAUUUUUUUAGAGCAU